GGUCAUUCCUGAACAUAUACUAAAAUUGGAACAAUAGAGAGAAGAUUAGCAUGGCCCCUGCGCAAGGAUGACACAAAAAUUCGUGAAGCCUUCCAAAAACAA
rnacentral:snRNA from 1 species